GCUACAACUUCUAUCCCGCCUGGGAAAGAGCCGCCAGCCGCAGCCAUGACCCCCAGCCUGGCCAGCGCCCUCCUCCUGCUGUUCCCCGCGGGUGUCUGGUCCCAAAUCAGCCUGGUGGAGUCCGGAGGGGGAGUCAAGAAGCCCGGAGAGACCCUCACCCUGACCUGCGCCGUGUCCGGAUUCUCAAUCACUAGCUAUGGGGUGCACUGGACCCGCCAGCCAGCGGGGAAGGGGCUGGAAUGGGUCGGAGUUAUAUGGAGUGGUGGAGGCACUGCUUAUACCGAUGCUCUCAAAAGCCGCCUCAGCAUCACCAGAGACACCUCCAAAAGCCAAGUGUCCCUGCAGCUGAGCGGCCUGCAGCCCGCGGACACCGCCCUGUAUCGCUGCGCCAGAGACACACAGCGAGGGAGAAACUAG